CGGAUAGUAUAGUUUCGUGCACAAAUUGAUACCAGCGGCUUCAACUUCACAAUACAGAUAAAGCGUGAAUGUUUUGCUUGCGCGCUACACUUGCUUCUUUCAGUGGUGCUUUCCGAUCACACUUCAGUUUCAGAAUGUGCUAAAAAUCAGGCGUUGCGUGUUCAGAGCCCCAAAAUCAAAGGCGAAUGACAUAGAAGACAGUCGAAAUCCUUUAGAAAAGGUACAAACAAGUGUGUUUGGAUAGGUUCGGUUUCAGGCUGUCCUUGCAGUAGGCGCCGACGCGUGCAAUCAGGGGAUCAGAGCCGAGCGACGUGUCGAAUUAUCUAUAGGUCAUAGAUUCAAAAAGUCGCUGCUAUGGAGCAUGUGCAUUUCCGCAGUAUUCACCUAGGCGAAAAUCAGCAUGUGCCCGAACAGCAAUCGGCUGUGUACCUCAUCGAAACUUCGGCAAUUGCAGAGAGAUAUCCGCGGAAGAAUCCGUGGCCUGUAGAUACCUGCUUUAGGUAGAAGUAAAUCCGCCCGUUCCUCCAGAUUCUCCGUAGCACGAUUUUGAGCAAUACACGCACGUCAAGCACAUCACGGAAAAAGCCACCAGGGUAGCAUCCACGAUUAUUUGCAUCUAGGUAUCGGAUAUUGCGCUAAUGUGAAAAGAAUAUGCUUCUGUGUUGAUGAAGCAGCAAGUGCUUUUUUGUAUUCGAGAUAAUUAGAAGAAAUUACAAGCAACGUAUUACCGUUGCAAACUAUACAGAUCAUUUGCCGUACAUAAGACCAGCACCCCUUAGAUGCGUGUUUCGACAAGGAAGAAGAAGAUCUUAGCUUCCUCAACUAAAUUUCUAGUGAUACGGAUCAUCAUCAUAGAAGAUUUAUUAUUUCAUCCCACGUUGUAAACAUUGAGAACUACCAGCGAAGAAAAUGGUAAAUAAAAAGAAAAAUAAACUGAAAUUAUUUUC